rnacentral:lncRNA from 1 species
UGACACCAUCAACCAACAUACUUUGCACCGCAUGGAAUUUACUAGGACUGAUGGUGGUUAGACUAAGGGUGCAGAAGAGAGAGUUGAGGACAGAGCUGAAGAAGAAGCUCCUUCAUCACCUCUCCAUGAUUCAGGGAAGCAUCUCCAGACAUUCAGUUCAUUUCAGAUCUCGAGGCUGGCCCAUCAGAGUCUACUAGGAGGCACACUCCAGUCCAGCAGCCAGACAGCAGAGCACAUCCCUCAGAGAUCAGAUUGGCUGACGACCAGAUAGAGAUGAUCUCUCAACGUGUGGCUUCCUUACUUUCUCGACAGUGGGGCACUUCAGCUUUUGCACAGGGAUCCACAUCACAUGAUGCAUCUGAUCAGACUUUGAUCCCUCACAUCUCCACUGUCUUCCAGAUGAUCUCAGAUCAGUCAGUUCGCAUUCAGCAGCUUGAGGGUUAUAUAUUGGGACUGACUGAGAGAGUACUUUACUUGCAGGGGCAAGUGUUAGCUCUGGCACAUCCACAGCCA